CCCAGCUCGUCAUGCUAGAGCACUUUUUCAAUGUGCUCCCCAAUGAGAUGGCGACAACGCAUUUGUAUGUCAAUCCAUAUCAACUUUCGAUGCCAUUGACUGCGCCUACCAUGGUGACCACGGGUAACAGGGAAUCAGGGUUUGAUUCCGUACAGGGACCCUGACAAACGGCUACCACAUGCAAGGAAGGCAGCAACGUGCAAAUGACCCACUCCCGACAUUGGAAGGUAGUGACG